GUUGAACGCUGGCGGCAGGCCUAACACAUGCAAGUCGAGCGGAUGAAGGGAGCUUGCUCCUGGCUUCAGCGGCGGACGGGUGGGUAAUGACUAGGAAUCUGCCUGGUAGUGGGGGCUAACGUCAGGAAACGGGCGCUAAUACCGCAUACGUCAUGAGGGAGAACGUGGGGGAUCUUCGGACCUCGCGCUAUCAGCUGAGCCUAGGUCGGAUUAGCUAGUUGGUGGGGUAAGGGCCUACCAAGGCGGCGAUCCGUAACUGGCUUGAGGGGAUGAUCAGUCACACUGGAAAUGAGAAACGGUCCAGACUCUGACGGGAGGCAGCAUAGGGAAUAUUGGACAAUGGGCGAAAGCCUGAUCCAGCCAUGCCGCGUGUGUGAAGAAGGUCUUCGGAUUGUAAAGCACUUUAAGUUGGGAGGAAGGGCAGUAAGUUAAUACCUUGCUGUUUUGACGUUACCAACAGAAUAAGCACCGGCUAACUUCGUG
rnacentral:rRNA from 1 species